UACGAAGGGGGCUAGCGUUGUUCGGAAUUACUGGGCGUAAAGGGCGCGUAGGCUGUGCUGUAAGUCAGGCGUGAAAGGCCCGGGCUCAACCUGGGAACUGCGUUUGAUACUGCGGCGCUGGAAUGCAGGAGAGGAUGGCGGAAUUCCCAGUGUAGAGGUGAAAUUCGUAGAUAUUGGGAAGAACACCGGUGGCGAAGGCGGCCAUCUGGCCUGCAAUUGACGCUGAGGCGCGAAAGCGUGGGGAGCAAACAGG
rnacentral:rRNA from 1 species